rnacentral:lncRNA from 10 species
UAAUUACUAUUAAUUACCACAUCACCACCACCAUAAAAAAGUAUUCUUGAAUUGCAGUUGGAAAAAAUGUUUCAUUUUCUUAUUUUUCAUUUCAUUGAAAUUUUGAGUUUCUCAGAAUGGAAAGACUAAGCAAUUCUGUAAACUAGGGCUGUGGAGAGGGAGAAGGUGUUAAUAAAAUCCCUAAAUGAAGGCUACGAACUUCCAUGUCCUCCACUAAGAAUUUUGGCAGGCCUCUAAGGGAGGUAUGUAGCUUGUGGAAUUAGAAUUGUGGAAUUAGAUCUAGUAGCAGAUCCUGGCUACUGAUUGAAAGUCCCUACCAUAUAGAUAUAAUUCAAACAUGUUAUGGAAUCCCUUAAAAUAGACUGUGGUAGCUUCAGACUAGCUUCAGACUCAUUACUGGGGAAUUCAGAAGGGCAAACACGUUAUUCCUGUUUUGGCCAUGACACUCUACACAAGAAGAUGUGAGGAGCCAUAUCACAGACAUUACAGACCCAAGACCCCACUCCCAGAUCUUCUAUAUUACAUGCUGGGGACGCAGAACCAGGAAUUCUUGCCAUAACAGCUUGAUCUGCUGCCAGAGCUUGACCAUGUCUUCCUCAGCGUGGUUUCCAAUGGAAGAGCUUGCUGCUGUGGGUACUCAUCCUUGGGCCAAAGGGGUGAUUCAUGAGCCAUGUGGUUCUCUGGGAGAGAGAUGGGGACAAACAUAAGAUACAGCAGGGCAUAAGAAGAGGGGAAAACGGAAGAGGGGGGAAAGAAGCAGGGAGUCCCCUCUCUUUCUGUCUGAAAUGCCAAAUGGGAAUAUACCAGAAAUGUUGUCAUUUGGCAGAUGUUUUAGACAUGUUAGAACUAAGACAACCAAAAAAUAGAACAUUUUGAAACAUUUCCUCAAAUAUGCAUCAGGAUUCUUUGUUGAUGUUACCUCCCAACAUCAAUGGUAGUCAUUUCAUGAACAGGACAUACAUCUUACUACAUUGUGUUGAGAUUUUAGAACUCACCCUCUUCAAAAAUUAUAUAUAUAUGAAGGAAUAUUACAUUUAAAGGAAUAUUAUUGACAUUAAAAUUUCAUCAAUGGCAAUGAAUACUCAAAGAAAAUGAAGCAAUGUCUUCAAAGUUAGGAAGAAAAAAGAUACUUACCUGCACUUUAUAUUAUGCAAAAGCUACUUCCAGUCAUUCAGAAACUUAGUUUACUUACUAUUUAGUCUCUCAGUAUGAAAAGAAUAUUCAAGGGCUUCACCAGUAAAACAAACAAACAAAAAAAGAAUCAUAGAAAAGAAUAUAUGAAAUGCAAGUGCUAAAAAAACUCAUUAUGGCCAUACGAAGAUAACGAAUUCAUGCCCAUAAUCUCCGCACUUUGGGAGGCCAGCUGAGGCAGGAGGUUCACUUGAGGCCAGGAGUCUGAGAACAUCCUGGGCAAUAUAGCGAGAUUCUGUCUCUACUAUCUAUCUAUCUAUCUGUCUAUCUAUCUGUCUGUCUGUCUAUCUAUCUAUCUAUCUGUCUGUCUGUCUGUCUGUCUGGCCAGCCAGCCAGCCAGCCAGCCAGCCAGCCAGCCAGGCAUGGUAGCAUGUGCCUGUAGUCCUAGUUACUUGGAAGGCUGAGGCAGGAGGAUUGCUUGAGCCUAGAGGUUUGAGGCUGCAGUUUGCUAUGAUCACACUACUGCACUCCAGUCUGAGUGACACAGUAAGGCCCUGUCUCCAAAAAAAAAAAAAAAAAAAAAAAAAAACAAAAAAAACAUAUAUAUAUAUAUGGAAGGAAGAAAGAAAAUGAGAAACGAUUUGUGAGGUUCUCAUGCUGGGAAAAUUAAUCAUCAAAAAGAAAAAACAUUAAGAUGUAAGAUUACAUUUUCUUUUUUUAGGAGGCCAGUAAAAUUACUCAGUUCUACAGUUAAAUAAUAUUACAAGUAUUGGGGCCAGGUGCGGUGGCUCACUCCUGUAAUCCCAGCACUUUGGGAGGCCAAGGAAGGCAGAUCACCUGAUGUCAGGAGUUCAACACCAGCCUGACCAACAUGGUGAAACCUGGUCUCUACUAAAAAUAGGAAAAUUAGCUGGGCAUGUUGGUGGGCGCCUGUAAUCCCAACUACUCAGGAGGCUAAGGCAGGAGAAUCACUUGAACCUGGGAAGCAGAGGUUGCAGUGAGCUGAGAUCGCACCAUUGCACUCCAGCCUGGCUGACAGAGUAAGACUCUGUCUCAAAGACAAAGCAAAACAAAAAACCCACAGGUAUUAAUUACCAUUUUAAAGUCCUAGAAUCAGCUUUUAGUUGUCCUAAAUAAAGCAACCAAACAAUAUAAAUAACCCUCAUAAUUAAUUAAAAAAAAAUUAUACCUAAUGGUUGUUUGAGGUAAGUGAGGAGGAGAGGUGAAGAAAAGGUUUACUAUUUAUCACAUUUUUCAUAGCAAAGAAUAAGUAGAUAUUGCCUUAAUUGAUACAUUUUAAAAAUUGUCAUUUAAGUAUAAUAUUUAAGUUCAGAAAGGCAAUGACCAGAACUAAGGAAAAAUGUAUCUAAAGACAUAAAGGAGGAGGGAAGAGGAGAUAUGAUAGAUAGUGCAAGAUUCCUAAACACUUAAUUGUCUGGAUAGUGUCUAAAGGUGAUGAAUCAUUUAAUAGAGUAUUUGGGAAAAAUAUAAUUCCUUUAUAGAGGUACAAAAAUUAA